rnacentral:rRNA from 1 species
GACGAACGCUGGCGGCGUGCCUAAUACAUGCAAGUCGAGCGCAGGAAACUGACGGAACUCUUCGGAGGGAAGGCAGUGGAAUGAGCGGCGGACGGGUGAGUAACACGUAAGGAACCUGCCUCAAGGAUUGGGAUAACUCCGAGAAAUCGGAGCUAAUACCGGAUAGUUCAUCGGACCGCAUGGUCCGUUGAUGAAAGGCGCUCCGGCGUCACCUUGAGAUGGCCUUGCGGUGCAUUAGCUAGUUGGUGGGGUAACGGCCCACCAAGGCGACGAUGCAUAGCCGACCUGCGAGGGUGCUCGGCCACACUGGGACUGAGACACGUCCCAGACUCCUACGGGAGGCAGCAGUAGGGAAUCUUCCACAAUGGACGAAAGUCUGAUGGAGCAACGCCGCGUGAGUGAUGAAGGUUUUCGGAUCGUAAAACUCUGUUGUAAGGGAAGAACACGUACGAGAGGGAAUGCUCGUACCUUGACGGUACCUUACGAGAAAGCCACGGCUAACUACGUGCCAGCCGCCGCAGUAA